AGAUAAUAUUUCCACCGGGAAGAACCUGUUGAACGUAUGGUUGAUACUUUAUUAACGAAAGGUAAGCACUCUCAGUUUCUAGCUACUCCCCGUGGCCGAAAUGAGACUGCUUUUUAUUUUUUUAUUCGUUUAUCGGUUUUAAUCCCCUGGUCAGUUGGUUAUGGAGAGCAGGAGAUCAAUGUGGACAAUUCGGCUACUGGGAAAAACCUGUUGAAAUUCUGGUUCAUAAUUUAUUAAAGAAUCAAAGUUUUUCUUUUUAGGGCAUUUUUCCUUUAUUCAGGUCACUACAGUGAGAGAGAGAGGAAAGUCAGGGACAGAGAGAGAGAGAGGAUGACAUGCGGGCCACGGGUCGGACUGGAGCCCUCAGACCGCUGGGUUAACGAUAGGUACCUCCGCCACUUGCAGCACAUCAACCACCUUACCACCAGUUUUCGUGAGACCCCAUCCA